UACACCGCUGGCCUUUGAAAUAAGGAUUACUCGCCAUUACUGGAAAGAUGAGUGGAAAUGAAUCCGAUACAGGGCGCAUGGUAAAGCGGUCGCACCUGCCAUGCGUAGGAGAUAGAA
rnacentral:sRNA from 1 species